rnacentral:rRNA from 1 species
AGCGAACGCUGGCGGCAGGCUUAACACAUGCAAGUCGAGCGGGCGUAGCAAUACGUCAGCGGCAGACGGGUGAGUAACGCGUGGGAACGUACCUUUUGGUUCGGAACAACACAGGGAAACUUGUGCUAAUACCGGAUAAGCCCUUACGGGGAAAGAUUUAUCGCCGAAAGAUCGGCCCGCGUCUGAUUAGCUUGUUGGUGAGGUAACGGCUCACCAAGGCGACGAUCAGUAGCUGGUCUGAGAGGAUGAUCAGCCACAUUGGGACUGAGACACGGCCCAAACUCCUACGGGAGGCAGCAGUGGGGAAUAUUGGACAAUGGGCGCAAGCCUGAUCCAGCCAUGCCGCGUGAGUGAUGAAGGCCCUAGGGUUGUAAAGCUCUUUUAACGGGGAAGAUAAUGACGGUACCCGUAGAAUAAGCCCCGGCUAACUUCGUGCCAGCCGCCGCGGUAA